CUGGAGUGUAUUCUAAUAUUGCUGCAGUUAAAAGGCUCGUAGUCGAUAUUUGUAAUGUGGAGGGAUUGGGCCAUUUUAUGGUUCGGUUUGCCUCUAAUUCAAUUGAAGUUGUAUGUCACUUUGAGUAAAGUGGAGGGACUCAACCAGGAUUUUUUGAUCCGCCUUUUCAUUGAUUUGGAAUGGCGGGCGAAAAGCUUAUUGAAUCCGCUGCACAUUCCAGCAUAGAAUGACGCGAUAGGAUUUGUCAGGCUGUGUGGGUUUCCUUUUUGGAUUCCCGCGCCCUGUCAACUAAUAAGACAUAUGAGAGAAGGGGGCUGUGGGUACUCUCCGGGAACCGGUGAAAUGGGUGGAUCCGGGAAUGACCAACGAAUGCGAAAGCACUCAGCCAAGUCUUUUCAUUUGA
rnacentral:rRNA from 1 species